GAAUUUUGGACAAUGGGCGAAAGCCUGAUCCAGCAAUGCCGCGUGCAGGAUGAAGGCCUUCGGGUUGUAAACUGCUUUUGUACGGAACGACAAGCUUUGGUGUAAUACCCUGGAGUCAUGAAGGUACCGUAAGAAUAAGCACCGUCUAACUACGUGCCACCAGCAGCGGUACUACGUAGGGUGCAAGCGUUAAUCGGAAUUACUGGUCGAAAAGCGUGCGCAGGCGGUUUUGUAAGACAGAGGUGAAAUCCCCGGGCUCAACUUGGGAUCUGCCUUUGUGACUGCAAGGCUAGAGUACGGCAGAGGGGGGUGGAAUUCCGCGUGUAGCAGUGAAAUGCGUAGAUAUGCUGAGGAACACCGAUGGCGAAGGCAACCCCCUGGGCCUGUACUGACGCUCAUGCACGAAAGCGUGGUGAGCAAACA
rnacentral:rRNA from 1 species